rnacentral:rRNA from 1 species
UACAGAGGUCUCAAGCGUUGUUCGGAUUCAUUGGGCGUAAAGGGUGCGUAGGUGGCGCCAUAAGUCAGGUGUGAAAUCUCGGGGCUCAACCCCGAAACUGCACUUGAUACUGUGGUGCUGGAGUACUGGAGAGGAGAUUGGAAUUUACGGUGUAGCAGUGAAAUGCGUAGAUAUCGUGAGGAAGACCAGUGGCGAAGGCGAAUCUCUGGACAGAUCCUGACGCUGAGGCACGAAGGCUAGGGGAGCAAACGGG